AGUCGAGCGGAUGAGUGGAGCUUGCUCCAUGAUUCAGCGGCGGACGGGUGAGUAAUGCCUAGGAAUCUGCCUGGUAGUGGGGGACAACGUUUCGAAAGGAACGCUAAUACCGCAUACGUCCUACGGGAGAAAGUGGGGGAUCUUCGGACCUCACGCUAUCAGAUGAGCCUAGGUCGGAUUAGCUAGUUGGUGAGGUAAAGGCUCACCAAGGCGACGAUCCGUAACUGGUCUGAGAGGAUGAUCAGUCACACUGGAACUGAGACACGGUCCAGACUCCUACGGGAGGCAGCAGUGGGGAAUAUUGGACAAUGGGCGAAAGCCUGAUCCAGCCAUGCCGCGUGUGUGAAGAAGGUCUUCGGAUUGUAAAGCACUUUAAGUUGGGAGGAAGGGCAGUAAGUUAAUACCUUGCUGUUUUGACGUUACCAACAGAAUAAGCACCGGCUAACUUCGUGCCAGCAGCCGCGGUAAUACGAAGGGUGCAAGCGUUAAUCGGAAUUACUGGGCGUAAAGCGCGCGUAGGUGGUUCGUUAAGUUGGAUGUGAAAGCCCCGGGCUCAACCUGGGAACUGCAUCCAAAACUGGCGAGCUAGAGUAUGGCAGAGGGUGGUGGAAUUUCCUGUGUAGCGGUGAAAUGCGUAGAUAUAGGAAGGAACACCAGUGGCGAAGGCGACCACCUGGGCUAAUACUGACACUGAGGUGCGAAAGCGUGGGGAGCAAACAGG
rnacentral:rRNA from 1 species